CCUACGGGAGGCAGCAGUGGGGAAUAUUGCGCAAUGGGCGAAAGCCUGACGCAGCGACGCCGCGUGAGGGAUGAAGGCCUUCGGGUUGUAAACCUCUUUCAGCAGGGACGAAAACAGACGGUACCUGCAGAAGAAGCACCGGCCAACUACGUGCCAGCAGCCGCGGUAAUACGUAGGGUGCAAGCGUUGUCCGGAAUUAUUGGGCGUAAAGAGCUCGUAGGCGGUUUGUCGCGUCGGCUGUGAAAACUCGGGGCUCAACCCCGAGCCUGCAGUCGAUACGGGCAGACUAGAGUGCUGUAGGGGAGACUGGAAUUCCUGGUGUAGCGGUGAAAUGCGCAGAUAUCAGGAGGAACACCGGUGGCGAAGGCGGGUCUCUGGGCAGUAACUGACGCUGAGGAGCGAAAGCGUGGGGAGCAAACAGGAUUAGAUACCCUGGUAGUCCACGCCGUAAACGGUGGGUACUAGGUGUGAGCGGUAUUCCACGCCGUUCGUGCCGCNGCACGACAUAAGUACACCCGCCCGUCGGGUAGGUACGGCCGGCCGACGACGAAACGUAACAAACAAGUAAGUAGUAGGUUCGNGUAGAGUUGCGACGGACGACGACGAGGGAGGAGG
rnacentral:rRNA from 1 species